rnacentral:rRNA from 1 species
CAGUAGCCGCGGUAAUACGGAGGGAGCUAGCGUUGUUCGGAAUUACUGGGCGUAAAGCGCGCGUAGGCGGUUACUCAAGUCAGAGGUGAAAGCCCGGGGCUCAACCCCGGAACUGCCUUUGAAACUAGGUGACUAGAAUCUUGGAGAGGUCAGUGGAAUUCCGAGUGUAGAGGUGAAAUUCGUAGAUAUUCGGAAGAACACCAGUGGCGAAGGCGACUGACUGGACAAGUAUUGACGCUGAGGUGCGAAAGCGUGGGGAGCAAACAGGAUUAGAUACCCCUGUAGUCCCUGUCUCUUAUAC